AUGGAUGGAACAGAGGGGGAUUAUUUUGCUGACUUCACCUGUUCUGAUGGAUUCACCAAGUACAGCACCCAGUGUCUCCUCUACGUUCCCCAAGCCAUGAGCUGGAAUGAAGCCAAGGAAAACUGCCAGUCCAUGGGAUCUUCCCUCGCUUCAGCCUUCUCAGGCUUUCAAGCUUCAGAGGUCCACCUUGAGAUGAAACGAGCAGGAGACACAUCUGGAAAAGUCUGGGUUGGAGGCCACAAAUCUCCCGAGGCAGGGCAUAAACAAAUCAGGCGUGCAGUAGCCAAACGAGACACACAAACGUGUACAAUAACAAUAUUUGUUCUUACAGGACGUUAACUGGUCCUGGGAUGGCGCCUCCUACUUCAACGGGGUUGGUGACUUUUGUGGUGAAGAACCCCAUGAGAACAACUGUCUGGAGAUAACUGAUGAUGGUAAACCGGUCAAGCUAUGGCACAGAAUGGGGCCGGAGAGCAGCAGACACAGUGAGCCGACUGAAAAAUAAAACUCUGUUUUUGCUGAUUUCAGACGACUCGGCUUGUCUGGAUGACACGGACUGUGACACGAAGCUCCCGUCAGUCUGUGGGACCAUCCUGAUGUAACGGACAUCUGCAGCAUCACCAGCUCCUGCGCCUCCAAAAUAGAAAACUCACACUUCUCUGUGUUUCUCCUGUAUUGCUGCUCCUUUGCUGUAAUGCUAAUCUAGUCCCACUGGAGUUUAGGUAGAUUUCAAGCUUCUGCAACAACCUAGUUAUUAAAAUGCUUCCAGCUCAGUUCUGCAGUCCGAUCUGUUACUUUUGUCCAGCUGAAACGUGCUUUUCUGUGUUGUCCUGCGAUGGACCAACAACCUGUCCUUGGUGUACCCCGCCUGUUGGCCUGUUGGCUGCAGCCCUGUGUGGAUAAGCGGGUUCAGAAAAUAGAUGGAUGGAUGAAAUGGGCUUUAUGCAGAUAAACCAGUCACAAUCAGAACAACGCUUGGUUAUGGUUGGCUCUUGGGCUCCCCCUAGAGUUGUAGGUAGGAUCACAUGGAGCGUCUGUCCCAGCGGUGCAGGGGUGUUUGUCUCCUCAGUCCACCAGAAUAACGCUGCAGCUGCAGUUUUCUAGAAUUAUCUACGGAAAAGAAUAGGGCCAAAAUUGAUAUUUUUUUUAUUCUGUCGGUUUAUUUUUAUUAUAAGGGUUUAAAUUUGAGAAAAAAAUAAAUUUUGGGGGGGCAAAAGUGUCUGGAUGUUUAUUUUCUAUCAGAUGUUGAAUUUAACAGAAAAUUGUGCAAAAAAACACACAAAUAGCUCUAAAAAUAUCCCAGGUCCUUUCAGGUAAAUCAUGUCAUGAAAAAAGCUAAAAGCAUUUAUUAAUGAAUUCAUCGUUCAAAGGAUGAGUGAGUGAUUUUGAUCCUUUUGGCCAGAAUCAUAAAAGAGCCACUGGAGGCUCCAGCGCCACAGAUUGCAGACCGCUGCUGUAAAGCAUCUAAAUGGUCACAAGGUUAAAAAUUUCUAUUUCACUGAUUAAAUGUUGAGUUUUUAUGACUCGGAGAACCGUAACGAGAGACUAAAGGUUAUAGGAGGGUUCAACAGUUCAAUAAUAAUAAUUAUUUUUUAAUUGUUCCCUUCAUGAUACCCAACGACCCGUUAUAACAGUGGAGAUAACCUAGAACAACAACCCUUCAAUGAUGCUUUUGUGUGUGUGUGUGUGUGUGUGUGUGUGUGUGUGUGUGUGUGUGUGUGUGUGUGUGUGUGUGUGUGUUGAGAGGACACUAGAGGAUUCAUGUUGGAGGUGAUAAUUAUUUUCAGAGUGAGCUUGAGGAGGACAAGUGAACCAGGACUGUUCUUCACAACGUGUGUGGGACACACACACACACACACACACAUGUAAUGAUUUAAAUUACAUGUUAUUUAAUAAGCCAUAAGGCGUAGGAUUCCAUAGGAAAUAUGAAGUCAACCUUAUGGAUCUGGGAGGUUAUUUUAAACCAGAAGAUUGGAGCUUUUUAUUGCAGGGAUUAGAUAACAGCUUCGUAUUCACUCAGAGACAACAGAAGAGAGAGAGAGUAGAGUUUAAAAGUUUAAAGAUUUAUUACUAAACAAAUUAAAACUAGACUAACAAACACUAAAUGUAUGGUGUAACUAAGGUGGAUACGAAGCUGUUAUCUAAUCCCUGCAUUAAAAAGUUCCAAUCUUCUGGUUUAAAUAACCUCCCAGAUCCAUAAGGUUGACUUCAUAUUUCCUAUGGAAUCCUACGUCUUAUGGCUUAUUAAAUAACAUGUAAUUUAAAUCAUUACAGAAUGGCGAGCCAGCCAGGAGUUGGAACAGCAACAGGUUUUAUCCAGUUUGUCGUUGGUUCUAUUGGCUGAAGAGGAAAGUUACGGAUUGGCCACUCCGACAACUUCUCUAGAAAGCUUUGAACUGGCAUUAAAGAUGACGUGGGCAUAGUUUUAUAAUUCGGAUGUUUUGGUUUAAGGUCGAAUGAAAAGAUGACAGAUUUAUCAAACACCACCAAAACCACACCUCCAUCAGAUCUGGCAGAUUCUGAUUGGAUCAGUGAAAGCAAUGUGUCAUGUCUUUUAACGCUACGUGAGAUCAGUCCUACUGGAACAUUUAAAGUCAUAGUCCCUUUAUAUUCUAUAGGAUUAUAAUAACGUAAUUAAUAUUUUCAUUUCACAGAUCGGUCACAUCUUAUUUAUUGACUAACACUUUUAUGGAUUAGCUUAUUAAAAUUCGGUCUUUGAUUAAUUAAAAGAAGAGUCCAUUCUUCAUUUUUCUGUUGAGCUGAAAACAAGCAGGUUAGAAGCAAAUGCAUGAGACCUCGAAGCCAUAUCUCAUGCAGACUAGUCCUGGGUCAGAGGAGACGGGGGUCAUUUUAUUCUGUCACACACACACACACACACACACACACACACACACACACACACACACGCCUUGUUGGUCCUCUAAUGGUGAAUAAAGACAAGGACAAGGAGUAACACAGAGGCAUGUGCUUCAGGUGUUAAAAUCAUAGACACGUUGUCUUUAUUUUACGAUUUUAAAAGGCACAAAGCUCCAAAUCUUAAAGUCUUUACAUCACAUUGUUAAAAAAGGGUCAUGUGUUUAUUGAAAUGCUCCCAAACAUUCAUAAAACAAAGUCCACUGACUGUACACAAGUUUGAAGCAAAAAAGGUAACUAGCUCUCUCGUCCCUGGUCUGUUAAAAACAUCUAAAAGCUCUUAAGCUUCACCACGUUCAAAACGCAACUAAACCCACUUAAAAGCCAUUAAAACACAAAACAAACUGAGCGUGUGAGAGAACUGACACAGAACUAGUGUCUCUCUUGCUGCAGCCGCACAACUCAUAGCCAAUAGAUGCCACAGCCGCUCAUAAACCCCAGUCUCACACAGACAGCGCAGCAGAGCCCACACCCUACGCCGAUCGUCCACUCCCAACAAGGUCUGCAGGGAAAAGGCAGAUAGACCUGUAGUCCCGAACCUCCCAAAAUAGGUCCCACGCUCAAGGUGGUG
ensembl:lncRNA